ACCCAGUAUUAUAACUUGACGCACAUUUGUUUUGUAAAUGUUUUAGGAAGAUUUGAGCUGAAUAAUCUUUUUCUUUAAAUACCAUAUAUUUUUUGAUUCUUAUGGCUGAAGGCAUAUCCACUUCCUUUGCUUCCAGAACAUUCCAGAUUACCCUGGCUUGCAGCACUGGUCAUCUUUGAAAAUCUACAAAGUUCUAGAAAGGCUGAUCUAGGCUAGGAACUCAGAGCAGGCCCUGUAGAAUUGUCAACUAUUAAAAUAUGUCACAUCUUAUGCUUAUGAAACUAGGAAAAAACAUAAAUCACACUUUUAUAACUGACUGCUAUGGUCUGAAUGUGUCCCCCAGAGUUCAAAUGUUGGUAACUUAAUCUCCAAUGCAACAGUGUUAAGAGGAUGGAUAUUUAAGGGUUAUUGGGCCUGUCCUCAUUAAUGGAUUAAUGAUGUUAUCAUGGGAGUUAGUUAUUGAAGGAGCAGGUUUCUGAUAAAAGGGGUGAGUCUGCCCUGCUUUCUCUCUUGCUCCUUCCUGCUCUUUUCCCCUUCCUCCUUCCCUGGUAGGAUGAUGCAGCAAGAAGGUCCUCACCAGAUGCAGCCCCCCAACCUUGGAUUUCCCAGCCUCCAGAACAGAAGGGAAGUAUCACCGGCCUGAACUACUACUCCCCAUCCCCUGCAACUGCCAUUCUUUCUGACUUGUCUCUAGAAAAGGCCAUGUGACCUCUCCCUCAGGCUGACGCAUUGUCCCAGCCAGAAUGUCCAGUAGAUGCUUUAUUCUGCUUUGGCUGGACAUUCUGGCUGGGACAAUGCGUCAGCCUGAGGGAGAGGUCACAUGGCCUUUUCUAGAGACAAGUCAGAAAGAAUGGCAGUUGCAGGGGAUGGGGAGUAGUAGUUCAGGCCGGUGAUACUUCCCUUCCUGUAAAAGAAACAGAGAGAGAGGCUAAUUGGGUCUUAGUCUUUGCAUUUUGUAUAUGUAUAUGUAUGUGCAUGCAUGUGGGUUGUUCUUUCCAUUUACCAUCUUGGAAGUCUUCAAAGAAUUAGCGUCCACGACCACUGGUCAAACAUUAUACCUUUUGUUCGUUGCUUUCCCCCUGGUUGGUAUUUUCUUGUAUGAAAAGGGAGCUACAGAGGAGGGAUCACAGAACUGGAGAGAGGGGCAGCAAACAUUCUGAGUCUCUGAGGACCAAGGCUAGUCCAUGAGAAGCUGGCCUGGGUCUGUGAAGGAGGCCUCAGGUCUCAGCUCUUAAGAUUUUCUUCUGGGAUUCCAAGACAGUGUCCUCUGCUGCUUCUUUCCACUGGCUGGACUCUGCCUGUCAUUCAGGCAGGAGCCACCAGGUGGAGAAAUGUGUAGAUGACAUCCUGGGGACACACACACACACACACACACACACACACACACACACACACAGAGGUUCAUUCACAACAAACAUUGUACAUUUAUGAAAGUUAGUUACCAUUAAUUCUCUCCCGGCCUUUGUUGUCUCAUCUUUAAAGUGAAAAGGUUAAGGAAAGUGUUGUGUAAUGUCUGUUCUGAAUUUCUAGGAUUCUAUAGUAUUGCAGUAAUAACAAGGCUUCUUUUACUUUUUAAAAACAUAUUGCAGGUCCUUAAGGUUAUGGGGUCAUAGCCAUGUUCCCCAUUCCUUCCUUUCCCAUAGUUUACUUGAGAUCUCUCUGAACAUCACCUACCAC
rnacentral:lncRNA from 10 species